UGCCCUGUGGAGCAGGAACUUUGCAGAGGUGUUUUACUUUUAGAUCACAGUCCCCUUUUCCUGCCCUAACCUUCAGGGCUAGCAGUCACUGGAAUGCCAGCUAACAAGCUGGCCUGAUGAACAGCCUGAGAAAUGUGUCAGAAUGGAAGCUUCAAUUUACUCAUCUUGGGAGUCUGCAUACUGUCUGAAACCAAGUGACUAUUUAAAUCAUUUCUGGAAAUUUUCACUUGAAAAAAUUUAUAUAAACAUUUAAGAGGCUCUGUGGUGAGCCAAGGUGACAGGUCAACACAUCCUCUCUGAUCUGUCCACAAAAUGGCAUGCAGUUCACUGGUAGAAGAAUAAUGGAAGAAAGCAGUUAACUCCACCUCCAAGACACCUACUGAGAGAUCUGGAAAAUGGAAAGCUUAGGUCUGUGUAGGACUUAAGUCUGUGAGGUACAGUGAAAAGCAACAACAACAGCCACAACAAAAACUACAGAUUUCUUACAGCUCUGUCACCUGUUGUCUCCUGCAGAAAACAAUGAAUACUGAAGGCCACAUGUCAUCUCUGUGCACUUCUGAAACAGAAAUGGACCAGCUCUUCUGGAAUGCUUUUCUGUCUGCAGAAGCACCUCUUGUAAACGUCUCCUAAGAGCUUUUAUCUAAUCAGAGGCUUAUUUCCCAGAGAUUCCAAGUGUGCAUAGAACAUGGGUUGUAGGCAGAGGAACCCAGAGAGAGUAAAAUAAGAAAUUGUUUUUUAAUGACACCAAAGCUUUGACUGAAGAACCACAUGGUCUUUAAAAUAGAUAAAUGAGUUUUUGUUUUAUUGGAGAGAUGGCUUGUUUAAUAACAGCAAGUGGAUAUGACAGAUAAAUAAAGCACAUGGUUGAAUAUUUCAGGUUUUAGUUCCCUUAUUUAUCCACCUAUCAGAAGAUAUUGCUUGAAUCAGAGAAUAUUGCUUGAAUCUCUGCUGUCUGCUAGUCAGGCUAAAUGUGAGAUAGAAUUGAG
rnacentral:lncRNA from 1 species